rnacentral:rRNA from 1 species
UACGGAAGGCAGCAGUGGGGAAUAUUGCACAAUGGGCGCAAGCCUGAUGCAGCCAUGCCGCGUGUAUGAAGAAGGCCUUCGGGUUGUAAAGUACUUUCAGUCGUGAGGAAGGUGUUAAGGUUAAUAACCUUAGCAAUUGACGUUAGCGACAGAAGAAGCACCGGCUAACUCCGUGCCAGCAGCCGCGGUAAUACGGAGGGUGCGAGCGUUAAUCGGAAUUACUGGGCGUAAAGGGCACGCAGGCGGUUAAUUAAGUUGGAUGUGAAAUCCCCGGGCUUAACCUGGGAAUGGCAUUCAAGACUGGUUAGCUAGAGUCUUGUAGAGGGGGUAGAAUUCCAUGUGUAGCGGUGAAAUGCGUAGAGAUGUGGAGGAAUACCGGUGGGCGAAGGCGGCCCCUGGGACAAAGGACUGACGCUCAUGUGCGAAAGCGUGGGGAGCAAACAGGGAUUAGAUACC